UGUGUGUGUGUGAUUGUGUGUUUGUGUUUAUGUUUAUUUAUCUAUCUGGUUGUGUGUGUGUAUGCGUAUGCAUGCGCGCGCGCACACACACACACACACACA